UACGGGGGGAGCAAGCGUUGUUCGGAUUUACUGGGCGUAAAGGGUGUGUAGGCGGUCAUGAAAGUCGGGUGUGAAAUACCGGAGCCUAACUCCGGAACGGCAUUCGAAACUCCAUGGCUGGAGAUCUGGAGAGGUGACUGGAAUUCUCGGUGUAGCAGUGAAAUGCGUAGAUAUGCGGAGGAACACCGAUGGCGAAGGCAA
rnacentral:rRNA from 1 species